GACGAACGCUGGCGGCGUGCCUAAUACAUGCAAGUUGAGCGCUGAAGGUUGGUACUUGUACCAACUGGAUGAGCAGCGAACGGGUGAGUAACGCGUGGGGAAUCUGCCUUUGAGCGGGGGACAACAUUUGGAAACGAAUGCUAAUACCGCAUAAAAACUUUAAACACAAGUUUUAAGUUUGAAAGAUGCAAUUGCAUCACUCAAAGAUGAUCCCGCGUUGUAUUAGCUAGUUGGUGAGGUAAAGGCUCACCAAGGCGAUGAUACAUAGCCGACCUGAGAGGGUGAUCGGCCAACUUGGGACUGAGACCCGGCCCAAAAUCCUACGGGAGGGAGCAGUAGGGAAUCUUCGGCAAUGGACGAAAGUCUGACCGAGGAACGCCGCGUGAGUGAAGAAGGUUUUCGGAUCGUAAAACUCUGUUGGUAGAGAAGAACGUUGGUGAGAGUGGAAAGCUCAUCAAGUGACGGUAACUACACAGAAAGGGACGGCUAACUACGUG
rnacentral:rRNA from 1 species